rnacentral:rRNA from 1 species
AGCAGCCGCGGUAAUUCCAGCUCCAAUAGCGUAUAUUAAAGUUGUUGCAGUUAAAAAGCUCGUAGUUGAAUUUCGGGAUCAAUACGUCGGUCGUGCCUCUGGUAUGUACUGGUGUUAUUGAUUUCUCCCUUCUGAUGAAUCAUGAUGUCAUUAAUUUGGUGUUGUGUGGAGUCAGGACUGUUACUUUGAAAAAAUUAGAGUGUUUAAAGCAGGCUCACGCUUGAAUACAUUAGCAUGGAAUAAUGAAAUAGGACGUUCGAUCCUAUUUUGUUGGUUUCUAGGAUCAACGUAAUGAUUAAUAGGGAUAGUUGGGGGCAUUAGUAUUCAAUUGUCAGAGGUGAAAUUCUUGGAUUUAUUGAAGACUAACUACUGCGAAAGCAUUUGCCAAGGAUGUUUUCAUUAAUCAAGAACGAAAGUUAGGGGAUCGAAGACGAUCAGAUACCGUCGUAG